rnacentral:tRNA from 1 species
GACUUAAAAUCCGUCGACUUUAAAAAUCGUGAGGGUUCAAGUCCCUCUAUCCCCAAAAAAAGCCUAUUUGACUCCCAAAAUAUUUAUCCUAUCCCC